UGUUCCAAAGUUGUUUUUGAC
rnacentral:piRNA from 1 species